GAUGAACGCUGGCGGCGUGCCUAAUACAUGCAAGUCGAGCGAAUGGAUUAAGAGCUUGCUCUUAUGAAGUUAGCGGCGGACGGGUGAGUAACACGUGGGUAACCUGCCCAUAAGACUGGGAUAACUCCGGGAAACCGGGGCUAAUACCGGAUAACAUUUUGAACCGCAUGGUUCGAAAUUGAAAGGCGGCUUCGGCUGUCACUUAUGGAUGGACCCGCGUGGCAUUAGCUAGUUGGUGAGGUAACGGCUCACCAAGGCAACGAUGCGUAGCCGACCUGGGAGGGUGAUCGGCCACCAUGGGACUGAGACAAGGCCCAGACCUCUACGGGAGGCAGCAGUAGGGAAUCUUCCGCAAUGGACGAAAGUCUGAACGGGCAACGCCGCGUGAGUGAUGAAGGCUUUCCGGUCGUAAAACUCUGUUGUUAGGGAAGAACAAGUGCUAGUUGAAUAAGCUGGCACCUUGACGGUACCUAACCAGAAAGCCACGGCUAACUACGUGCCAGCCGCCGCAGUAA
rnacentral:rRNA from 1 species